UUAACGUUUGAGGCAAUAGCAAAGAUGAUGAUCAGUGCUUCUCAGCAAACAUUUGACAGUCUCAGAUGGACAUGCUUGCUUCUCCUGCCAUGAUGCUAAGUUUCCUGAGACUUCCCCAGCCACGUGGAACUUGCACUAGGUCAUUGCUUGGUGUCCACUGCCUGCAGCAGAAGGGCUCAUCAUUGUGUUCCCGGUGCUCACUCCCAACCAGCCCUGCUGUUUCGGCUCCAAGCACAGAGGAGGAGGCCCUGCCUGUCUCCAUGACAACCGUGUGUCCUCCGGGAAGCUGCUCAGAGCUAAAGACCUUCUCAGGCGGGGGAGGGGCUGUUUUUGAGCAAAAUCUCACCUCGUUUCUCCUCUUUGCAGCGCAAUUUGCUAAAUUGUGUCUCUUUUAUUGUGUUUUUAUAUAAGACUAUUACACAAAAGUCACACGCCCCAAACCUUAUUUCAUGAACAUAAAAGCCACAUCACAAGGAUUUUUCUAGCAUCUGGCACAUAAUUUCACACACCCCUCCCCUUUUUGUGUUAACUUUAACUUUGUCUUUGGUUCUUCAUUUCCCUGGAAUGAUUUAAAUAUUAAUGAACAUUCAAAAGCCAAACACUCCCUUAGCCUGGCAAUAUUGUUAGCAUACAUUAUAAAUACUUGAAAGGAAACACUUUUUUCUUUGCUUUGUGCUUAAAUUUACUAGCAUAAUUUAAAAUGGUAGCAUUAAAAAUGUCUUACCA